rnacentral:rRNA from 1 species
AUACGUAGGGAGCGAGCGUUGUCCGGAAUUACUGGGCGUAGAGGGCGCGUAGGCGGCGCUUCAAGUCGUCUGUCAAAUGGGAGGGCUUAACCCUUUUUCGCAGACGAAACUGGAGAGCUUGAGAAGCAGAGAGGCAAACAGAAUUCCUGGUGUAGCGGUGAAAUGCGUAGAUAUCAGGAAGAAUACCAGUGGCGAAGGCGGUUUGCUGGCUGCAUACUGACGCUGAAGCGCGAAAGCCAGGGGAGCAAACGGGAUUAGAUACCCCGGUAGUCCUGGCAGUAAACGAUGUAUGCUGGGUGUGAGACUAGCGAUAGUUUCGUGCCGAAGUUAACGCGAUAAGCAUACCGCCUGGGGAGUACGGUCGCAAGAUUGAAACUCAAAGGAAUUGACGGGG